GAUGAAGAACGUAGCGAAAUGCGAUAAUUAAUGUGAAUUGCAGAAUUCCGUGAAUCAUCGAGUCUUUGAACGCACAUUGCGCCUCAUGGCAUUCCGUGAGGCAUGCCCAUCUCAGCGUUAGAAAAUAUUCUCAAAUUUUAGUUUUGUGCUAAAAUUUGGAUCAUGUCAAAGAAGCUAUUACUAUUAUUGUAUCGCUCUUUGGAAAUUGAUAGGUCUUUGAGUUGCUACUCAUAGAACGUGAUGAAUCUUUCUUCAUUCUAUUGUAAUUCACUCUGGUAGUCCUAAAACUUGUAUGCCUGUAGCAUAUCUUGUAAUUUGACCUGAGAUUGGGUAGGGAUACCCGCUGAACUUAAGCAUAUCAAUAAGCGGAGGA
rnacentral:misc_RNA from 1 species